CUUAAAGAGUUCGUAGGUGGUUGAAAAAGUUGGUGGUGAAAUCCCAGAGCUUAACUCUGGAACUGCCAUCAAAACUUUUCAGCUAGAGUUUGAUAGAGGAAAGCAGAAUUUCUAGUGUAGAGGUGAAAUUCGUAGAUAUUAGAAAGAAUACCAAUUGCGAAGGCAGCUUUCUGGAUCAUUACUGACACUGAGGAACGAAAGCAUGGGUAGCGAAGAGGAUUAGAUACCCUCGUAGUCCAUGCCGUAAACGAUGUGUGUUAGACGUUGGAAAUUUAUUUUCAGUGUCGCAGCGAAAGCGAUAAACACACCGCCUGGGGAGUACGACCGCAAGGUUAAAACUCAAAUGAAUUGACGGGGACCCGCACAAGUAGUGGAGCAUGUGGUUUAAUUCGAAGAUACGCGCAGAACCUUACCAACACUUGACAUGUUCGUCGCGACUUUAAGAGAUUAAAGUUUUCGGUUCGGCCGGACGAAACACAGGUGCUGCAUGGCUGUCGUCAGCUCGUGUCGUGAGAUGUUGGGUUAAGUCCCGCAACGAGCGCAACCCUCACUUUUAGUUGCCAUCAUUAAGUUGGGCACUCUGAAAGAACUGCCAGUGAUAAGCUGGAGGAAGGUGGGGAUGACGUCAAGUCCUCAUGGCCCUUACGUGUUGGGCUACACACGUGCUACAAUGGUAUUUACAACAGGAAGCAAGACGGCGACGUUAAGCAAAUCCUUAAAAAAUACCUCAGUUCGGAUUGCACUCUGCAACUCGAGUGCAUGAAGCUGGAAUUACUAGUAAUCGUGGAUCAGCGUGCCACGGUGAAUGCGUUCCCGGGUCUUGUACACACCGCCCGUCACACCAUGGGGAGUUGGUUCU
rnacentral:rRNA from 1 species